rnacentral:rRNA from 1 species
AGUGAACGCUGGCGGUAGGCCUAACACAUGCAAGUCGAACGGCAGCACAGUAAGAGCUUGCUCUUACGGGUGGCGAGUGGCGGACGGGUGAGGAAUACAUCGGAAUCUACUUUUUCGUGGGGGAUAACGUAGGGAAACUUACGCUAAUACCGCAUACGACCUACGGGUGAAAGCAGGGGAUCUUCUGACCUUGCGCGAUUGAAUGAGCCUAUGUCGGAUUAGCUAGUUGGCGGGGUAAAGGCCCACCAAGGCGACGAUCCGUAGCUGGUCUGAGAGGAUGAUCAGCCACACUGGAACUGAGACACGGUCCAGACUCCUACGGGAGGCAGCAGUGGGGAAUAUUGGACAAUGGGCGCAAGCCUGAUCCAGCCAUACCGCGUGGGUGAAGAAGGCCUUCGGGUUGUAAAGCCCUUUUGUUGGGAAAGAAAAGCAGCAGGUUAAUACCCCGCUGUUCUGACGGUACCCAAAGAAUAAGCACCGGCUAACUUCGUG